rnacentral:rRNA from 1 species
AUUGAACGCUGGCGGCAGGCUUAACACAUGCAAGUCGAGGGGUAACAAGAGAAAAGCUUGCUUUUCUUGUUGACGACCGGCGCACGGGUGAGUAACGCGUAUCCAACCUGCCCAUAACUAGGGAAUAACCUUGCGAAAGUAAGACUAAUACCCUAUAAUGUCCUUUGACGGAAUCCGAUUAGGAAUAAAGAUUUAUCGGUUAUGGAUGGGGAUGCGUCUGAUUAGCUUGUUGGAGGGGUAACGGCCCACCAAGGCAACGAUCAGUAGGGGUUCUGAGAGGAAGGUCCUCCACAUUGGAACUGAGACACGGUCCAAACACCUACGGGAGGCAGCAGUGAGGAAUAUUGGUCAAUGGGCGGAAGCCUGAACCAGCCAAGUAGCGUGCAGGAUGACGGCCCUAUGGGUUGUAAACUGCUUUUAUACAGGAAUAAAGUUAGCCACGUGUGGUUAUUUGUAGGUACUGUAUGAAUAAGGACCGGCUAAUUCCGUGCCAGCCGCCGCGGUAA